rnacentral:rRNA from 1 species
UCACCAGGUUGAUUCUGCCUGGCGUGUGCGCUAGUCUUGGGGACUUAGCCAUGCAAGCUGGCGAAGCAGAGCGGAGCGGCGGACGGCUCAGUAGGACAGGGAUAAUUCACCCGCAGCAGGAAGAGGGAUAACCGCGGCAAGCUGCGGCUAAGACAUGGACAGGCUGAGCCGCGGGGAGGCGCGGGCAGCGGAGAGCGGCUGCGGCGAAGUCACUGGCCUAUCAGCUGGUAGGUAGGGUAAAGGCCUACCUAGGCGACGACGGGUGACGGGGGGUGAGAGCCCGGUACCGGAGAGGGAGCCUGAGAAACAGCUCCCACGUCCAAGGACGGCAGCAGGCGCGGAACUUGCCCAAUCCCUGCGGGGGGAGGCAGCUACAAGACGUGGGGAGGCCCCGUGACGCACGGCAAAGGAGUGCGGGGCGACUGGAGGGCAAGUCUGGUGCCAGCAGCCGCGGUAAUUCCAGCUCCAGGAGCGCACAUGUGUGUUGCUGCAGUUAAAACGUCCGUAGUCGGCCUGGCGGGGCAGCGAGGAAAGUGCUGUGCUCAAGGCGGCGGGCAGCGCGGGACCCGGGGCGAGAGGAACGGACGACGGGCGCGGGAUCCGGGGGCGAGAGGUGAAAAUCGGGGACCCUCUGGGGACGAGCGGAAGCGAAGGCGGCGCCCGGGGACGUGUCCGUUGAUCAAGGACGAAGGCCGGAGGAUCAAAGAUGAUUAGAUACCGUCGUAGUUCCGGCAGUAAACGAUGCCGACGGGGCGAGGCCUGCGGGCUGUGUCCGGGAGAAAUUGGAGUGUUUGGGCUCUGGGGAUAGUACGGUCGCAAGACAGAAACUUAAAGAAAUUGACGGAAGGACACCACAAGGAGUGGAGUGUGCGGCUUAAUUUGACUCAACGCGGGGCAGCUUACCAGGCCGCAUGCGCGGGAGAUUGGCGGCGGGGCGCCUCCGAGAUUGCGCAGGGAGUGGUGCAUGGCCGUUUGCAACACGUGGGGUGACCUGUCUGGUUAAUUCCGACAACGCGUGAGGCCUGGGGCGCAGGGCUGUGCGACGGGCUGCGGCAAGCGGCAGGAGGGCAGGCGAUAACAGGUCAGUGAUGCCCUCAGAUGCUCUGGGCUGCACGCGCACUACAAUGGCGGGGCGAGACGGCGUGCCGAGAGGUGCGAGGGAAGCCUGGCUGCAGCGGGGAUGGGUGCCUGGAAGGGUGCCCUGAACGAGGAAUUCCUAGUAGCCGCGGGUCACCAAGCCGCGGCGAAUGUGUCCCUGUUCUUUGUACACACCGCCCGUCACUACCUAAGAUGGAUGUGCAGGCGAGGUGGCUGGCGAGGCAGCCGAGCCUGUGCAACUAGAUAAGGUAUAAGUCGUAACAAGGUAACCA